rnacentral:misc_RNA from 1 species
CAACCCUCAAGCCCCCGGGCUUGGUGUUGGGGAUCGGCAUAAGGCGCUGGCACCUCCGGGAGCCGUCGCCCGCCGUCCCCCAAAUUCAGUGGCGGUUCACGCCGUGUGUACCUCAGCGUAGUAGCAACACCUCGCUCCGGAACCGCAUUGUGAGCCACGCCGUAAAACCCCCGACUUUUUUUUUUAAU